UACAGAGGGGGCAAGCGUUAUUCGGAAUUAUUGGGCGUAAAGGGCGCGUAGGCGGCCUGGCAAGUGGAAGGUGAAAUCCCCCGGCUUAACCGGGGAACUGCCUUCCAGACUGCCUGGCUUGAGACCGGGAGAGGUGAGUGGAAUUCCCAGUGUAGCGGUGAAAUGCGUAGAUAUUGGGAGGAACACCAGUGGCGAAGGCGGCUCACUGGACCGGUACUGACGCUGAGGAGCGAAAGCGUGGGGAGCGAACAGG
rnacentral:rRNA from 1 species